UACAGAGGGGGCAAGCGUUAUUCGGAAUUAUUGGGCGUAAAGGGCGCGUAGGCGGCCUGGCAAGUGGAAGGUGAAAUCCCUCGGCUUAACCGGGGAACUGCGUCCGAUACUGGAUGGCUUGAGUUCGGGAGAGGGAUGCGGAAUUCCAGGUGUAGCGGUGAAAUGCGUAGAUAUCUGGAGGAACACCGGUGGCGAAGGCGGCAUCCUGGACCGACACUGACGCGUGAGGAGACGAAAGCCAGGGG
rnacentral:rRNA from 1 species